UUUUUUGGAAACAUUUAGACCCCGACCCCCCCCGGGGGCCAAUUAACUUUUAUAAAAGGGGAAAAAAAGUUGGGUCCCGGGCCCCCCCUCGAGGUAGACGGUAUGUUUAGGCUUAAUAUCCACUGAGGAAUUCCCCCUCGGACUAGUAGGGUAUGUAUUCUUGUUCGCUAGGGGUGUUUGAAAGUGUCAGGGUCAGUUGCAGACCAGGUAGUCGCGUUUGCCAGGGAUGUUAUUCAAUAUAUCUAGACAUUCCACCGCUACACAAGGAGUUCCAUUACCUUUUUAUGCACUCAAGUUAUCCAGUUUCGGAUGCAAUUCUCUGGAGAAGCCGAUGUUCCGGAUUUCAGCCAGAGAGAACCGCCUCAUUUCUUUCCAGCACCAAAGGUAAUAAAUAGGCCCCCCCACGUUAUCCGGAUUUAUGGGGAGUAAAGAGAGCGCAGGCGGUUUUCUAAGUAUGAUGUGAAAGCUUUCGGAAUAACCGGAGAAGUGCAUCGGAAAUUUGAUAAAACGAGUGCAGAAGAGGGUAGAGGAAUUCCAUGUGUAGCGGUGGAAUGCGUAGAGAUAUGGAAGCACACCAGUGGAGAAGGCGGCUACCUGGUCUGCAACUGACGCUGAGACUGAAAGCAUGGGUAGCGAACAGG
rnacentral:rRNA from 1 species